AACGAACGCUGGCGGCGUGCUUAACACAUGCAAGUCGAACGCGAAAGAGUUCUUCGGAACUUGAGUAGAGUGGCGCACGGGUGAGUAACGCGUAAGUGAUCUACCCCUGUAUCUGGAAUAACCAUGGGAAACUGUGGCUAAUACCGGAUACGUUCAUGUGAUUGCGGUCAUGUGAAGAAAGAUGGCCUCUGACAUAAGCUGUCGUACAGGGAGGAGCUUGCGUACCAUUAGCUAGUUGGCAGGGUAAAGGCCUACCAAGGCGACGAUGGUUAGCGGGUCUGAGAGGAUGAUCCGCCACACUGGAACUGAAACACGGACCAGACUCCUACGGGAGGCAGCAGUGAGGAAUAUUGCGCAAUGGGGGCAACCCUGACGCAGCGACGCCGCGUGGAUGAUGAAGGCCUUCGGGUCGUAAAAUCCUGUCGGAUGGGAAGAAGUGUAAUGUGGUUAAUACCCAUGUUAUUUGACGGUACCAUCAAAGGAAGCACCGGCUAACUCCGUGC
rnacentral:rRNA from 1 species